rnacentral:piRNA from 1 species
UUAAAGAACAAGAAGCGGUGAUCUGAUUC